GGCCUCCUACGGGACGCAGCAGUGAGGAAUAUUGGUCAAUGGGAGAGAUCCUGAACCAGCCAAGCCGCGUGAGGGAAGACGGCCCUAUGGGUUGUAAACCUCUUUUGUCGGAGAACUAAACCCGGGGCGUGUCCCGGACUGCGUGUAUCCGAAGAAAAAGCAUCGGCUAACUCCGUGCCAGCAGCCGCGGUAAUACGGAGGAUGCGAGCGUUAUCCGGAUUUAUUGGGUUUAAAGGGUGUGUAGGCGGUCCGUUAAGUCAGCGGUAAAAUUGCGGGGCCCAACCCCGUCGAGCCGUUGAAACUGG
rnacentral:rRNA from 1 species